rnacentral:lncRNA from 10 species
CAAUGGCUUAGAAUUCCCCCACCAUCUCUCCAGGACCUAAUUUCUAGGAGAAAUAUCAAGGAUGGGAAAAUCAGCCUUUUGUAAACAGAUAGAACCUGAAGUAUGCAUCCAUCAGGAAGGGUUCCGGCUUUGGCUGAAACAGCACACUGGGAUCACAGAUAAAUGGGAAAGAAAGGAAUACAAGGGAGGAGGAGUGUGAGGGUGAGAAACAGAAACAGAGAAAGGAAGGUGGGGAGAGAAACAGAGAGAGAGAGAGAGAGAAAACCAAUGCUUUCUAUGCUGGAACUUGCUUUUUAAAGUACCUUAUUUUAAUUAUGUUAAUCCUUUUAAACCAGUCUCAAUUCCCAGCUUAAUGAGAAGGAGAGUUGAAGGAUGGAGAAAGAGGACCCUCUUUGCAUCCCCACUCCCAGGCCUGUGUCCUCCCGCACAGUUUAUUUGCCCAGCGAUCUGACCCACACACCUCCUACAUAAGAAGAUAAACUGAAUCAGCAAGAGGAUACAGUUUCUUCAUCUCCCUGUCCCAAGACGUCACCUUGCACUCUUCAGCCAAUCAAUGAUACCACUCUUCAGCCCAUUCCAAAACCCUUAAAAUCCCUAGCUUCAAGCUUCUCUGGGAGACAGCUUUGAGGUUUCAUCUUGUCUCCUCGUUUGGCAGCCCUACAUUUAAAGCUUUAUCUCUGCUGCAACUCAGUGUCUCAUUGUAUUGAUUUGCCAUGCACAUUGGACAACAGAUCUAUUAUUAGAGAAAGGAAGAUGGGGAGAGAGAGAGAACCAAUACUUCAACUUUAUAUGGUUGAGGAAAUCUCAUAGUCUCCCUGAAUUCUCUUUCCUCCUCUACUCAUUGCACUUGGAAUCAGAACACUUGAGUGUAAACCUGGAUACCAGGUGCCUUGAACAAGUUAUUUAACCCUGCUAAUCUCAGUUUGCUCCUCUGUAAAAUGGGCAUCUGCUAACACGUAUCUGACAAGGCUGUUCUUACUAGUACAUGUGAUAAUAUGUGCCAAAUUUGAGUUUUCUUUGAAGUUCUAAGACGCCUCCUUCUCUUUGUGAAAAUACCUUUCUCUACCAAAAGAGAUAUAUAGACCAAUGGAACAGAACAGGAGCCUCAGAAAUAACACCACACAUUUACAACCAUUUGGUCUUUGACAAAUCUGACAAAAACAAGAAAUGGGGAAAGGAUUCCCUAUUUAAUAAAUGGUGCUGGGAAAACUGGCUAGCCAUAUGUAGAAAGCCGAAACUGGAUCCCUUCCUUACACCUUAUGCAAAAAUUAAUUCAAGAUGGAUUAAAGACUUAACUGUUAGACCUAAAACCAUAAAAAC